AAUAAAACUUGAGUUCGAACAAUCCAUUUUUGGACCUAAUUUCGGACAUAACCCAUAAUUCUCAAGCUCACAAUUUUUAGACUCAUACCCCUAAACUAAUUCCUACGCAUGUAUAAUAGUACCUAACACCUAAAAUAGACCAAGUCUAAAUCAGCGCCGCAAUUCGCGAGACUCUCCCAUAUCGUCUUCUUCAUUGAACGACCGAGGACCUAGACUAAGAGCAAAAGCUGCGCAUCAGCUAGAGAAGGAGGAGCCGCUGCCUUCUCUUCUUCUUCAUGGAUCUCACUGAAAUAAACUGUAUCAAAGGCUCCAUUAACACUCCAAACUUCACCUCGCUUUCCUCCGAAAAUACAGCUUGAAUGUACUGCGAACAACCUCAUAAACGACCCAUAAAAUACAAAUCAAAAUCCCUCUCAAACACAGCUGUAAACUCAUUCCAAAAAUACUUCAAAUCCAGCUGAAAUUCAGCUCCAAAAACAAUAUAAAACACCUCAAUAACCAUCCCCAAACCACCUUGUUUUAGCUUCAAUGCUACUCUAAAAAACACAACAGCCCUUACCAUUAAAACACGCCAAUUUCAGUCCAGUGAGAUUUUAAAUUUCGGGAUUCGAAGUUUGCCUUGCCAACGAGCCUCAAAUUUCCAGAGAGUCGAUAGAGUUUGCCGAAGCUUCCAUGGUCUGACAGGUGGUAAAUUCCAUUCAUAUUUAAUUAAGGUCCGUUUCUUUUUAACUUCAAAACUUGGAUCUUCAUCUUGUAUUGGUUCGUGUGAAGCUUGAAUAUAGCGAGGCCUUAUUAAUAUGGUUUUGAAUAUCUGAUUUGCUCUUUGGUUUAGUUAGCUUUAUAUUCCAAUUUUGAAUACUCUGCUUAGUUGCUUUGGAGACAGUUAAAACGUGUAUGACUUGGGUUCCUUUUCUACUUGUUAGUUGAUACGACAAUAACAAUUCAGUAUAAUUUCAUUUAAUAUGGUUUGGAGAGGGUAGUGUAUACCUUAUUCAUAUCCUUGGAUAGUUUCCAAAUAGACCCCCGACAUCCUCUCCUCCAAGAACUUUCCACCUUGGUCUUAGACCUUGCUCUUGGACCUUACUCUUGAGGAAACUCAAACUCACAAUAUUUCGAUUAAAAGUGAAAGUUGCUUACCAUCAGAGCAAUCCUCUCCGUUAGUUGAUUUGUAAACAACCAAAAUUAUAUUAUCGAAAAGCAAAUAGUAGUAGUAAACAAUUUCUGAAAAAACCAAACUCGUGAACAAGCCAUCAACCACGUCACUCUCAUCAUUAUAAAUACAAGGCCAUACUUUUACAACUUGCCGGGAAGAGAGGAAACUUAAGUGUUGGUUUCCAAAGUGUGAUUUUUUUGUAUGAAGUUAAUACAAAACAAAUUCUAGUAAUAGAAAUAAAGUUUGUUAUCUCAUGAGACGUGUGCUGUAGGGAUUUAAGGUAAUGUUAAAUAGAAUUUUUACACUAUAUAUAAAACUUUCGUACACAAUUUAUUUUAAAUAACUAUUACUUUAAAAUAUUACAUUCUAUAAUUACCUUUUAUCCUUUAUAGCAAAAAACUUAAAUAUAGUUACAUCUUACAAUUAAGGUACCAUAUUGUUUAACCAAAAAAUGGUAUUUCGGUCAACGCUAUAAUUUUAUAUGACGGGCCAUAAGAAACCGAUUCAAUCCGAAAGAUAUAAAUUUUCAUUAAUACAACGUGAUAGAGAAGUGGAAAUAAAUUCAAUGACAGAUAAUAUAAUAAAACUAAAGCUGAGAAAAAAGAAUUCUUAUUGAAUGAUCCUUGAUUGGAUAAUGAGCCGAAUAGAGCUUGAAGCGCCGAACUAUGGCUAACUUGGGAGCAAGAUGCUAUGAAUAUUACAACAUAUAGAAUUGUAGAGAAGAAAAUUAGAUUCCCCCUAUGUUAUUUAUAUGGCUAAAUCUAAGUAACUAAUCUCCUUGAAUUUUGGGUUCCUCAUGAACAUUUACUCAAUCCAUCCAUUACUUUUUGAAGACUUGUAACAACUAUGUAAAUGCUGGAAUUUCGUAAUUGAUGAGUUAAUUCCAUAACUGAUGAGUUAAUUCCGUAUAUAAUGAGUCGUUCUCGUGCCUGUUAAAUCAAUCUCGCGCCUUUUAAGUGAGUCAAUCCCGUGCCUAUUGAGUCAAUAUCGUACCUGUUAAGUGAGUCAGUCUCGUGCCUGUUGUGUCAACCUCGUUCCUGUUAGUUAAUCUCGUGUCUAUUAAGUUAAUCUCGUGCAUGUUAGUCAAACUCCUGCUUGUUGAGUCCAUCUUGUAAUUGAUUGCAUUGUUCUGACCGUUACAAUCAUUUAUUUGCAUUUAUUGUACGUUACAUAAUUGAUUUGUAACCGAUGAUAUAAUUAUAGGAAAUCCCAUAUAAUCCAGAUACAUCCGAUUCCUUCGUCAUUUGUAAUUAUGAGAUAUUCUCCCGCACCUAUUCUGGGCUAUUUAUGAUGAUCAAUUCCAUGGCUAACAGGCAUGAUACGAGUAUAUACGGUCCCGGGGGCGUUUCACAUAUCAUCUUUACAUGUCAUUCUUCACUUUUCUUCAAACUUUGCUGACACGUGUCGCCAUUUAAUUGACCCAUAUGGCGAGUCUAAUUUUUACCAAUACAGAUAGUCCCCCACUUAUUGGUUACUCAUUAUGAUGUGAGCGGAAAGUGGAAUAUUUUAUCAUUUUCAUCCUUGCCUCUGCCUCAUUAAAAACUUUGCAGGGAAAACCCAAUUGGGAAAAAUAUCGGAUGAAGAAAAAACAAUGCAGAAAUUAGAGAUUCAGAUG
rnacentral:lncRNA from 1 species